UAGGGAAUCUUCCGCAAUGGGCGAAGGCCUGACGGAGCAACGCCGCGUGAGUGAUGAAGGUCUUAGGAUCGUAAAACUCUGUUAUUAGGGAAGAACAAACGUGUAAGUAACUGUGCACGUCUUGACGGUACCUAAUCAGAAAGCCACGGCUAACUACGUGCCAGCAGCCGCGGUAAUACGUAGGUGGCAAGCGUUAUCCGGAAUUAUUGGGCGUAAAGCGCGCGUAGGCGGUUUUUUAAGUCUGAUGUGAAAGCCCACGGCUCAACCGUGGAGGGUCAUUGGAAACUGGAAAACUUGAGUGCAGAAGAGGAAAGUGGAAUUCCAUGUGUAGCGGUGAAAUGCGCAGAGAUAUGGAGGAACACCAGUGGCGAAGGCGACUUUCUGGUCUGUAACUGACGCUGAUGUGCGAAAGCGUGGGGAUCAAACA
rnacentral:rRNA from 1 species